AGAGAGAGAGAGAGAGAGAGAGAGAGAGAGACCCUUUCUACAUACGUAACUUGGACAUAAACUGUAACCUCUGUCUGUCCAACCCUGGCACACACACACACACACACACACACACACACACACACACACACACACACACACACACACCGCACGCAAACUCCAGCGGUAGUGGUUGUGAUGGUGGUGGUGUGGGGGGUGGUAGUGGUGGAGGUGGUGGAGGGACACUGUAAAUAGUUCUAAAAGGAAAUUGCGGACUGCGGAGGUGGUGAUGACAGAAUGUGGUGAGGCUUCGAAUGUGUGUGUGUGUGUGUGUGUGUGUGUGUGUGUGUGUGUGUGUGUGUGUGUGUGUGUGUGUGUGUGUGUGUGUGUGUGUGUGUGUGUGUGUGUGUGUCUGGAUGAAUGGGAAAGAAGUGAAGCGAAAGAUGAAGCUUUAUACGUCUGAUGUCACUGAAUAAAAGACAUCACUAAGUCCUUGCUAUUAUACUCUAGCUGAAUCUCAACAUUGUCCUUCUUCACUCAGUGUCUCCUUCACUUCCCAACAAACAUCCAUCCACUUGUUGCCUUGCCAGUGAGGACAAAUGUCAUAAGUGUCAGUGUGUUAAAACUACAAUAGUGAUUAACUCCAGCCGAAUGGAAUUAAAAUGAGAACUGAACGAAACAAAAAUACGUCGAGGAAAGUAAAAAAAUAAUGGCGAUUCAAGUGAGUGGCUAUCUACAGUGUGGCUGCGGAAGGCUUGGUUGUCCUCCUGCCGCCGCGUCCUAUCCUGCUUCAGAGAGGGAGAAGGGGAAGGGGGUGAGACUUAGAAUAAAAUGUAUGCUAGAUUAAAUAAAGUCUCAAGGUCUGUGAAGUAAAAUUAAAAUCAAGUAGCAUCUUCGCGCAUAAAACGAGAUUUGCACGCUUCGUAACAGUCACUCUUAAGUCACUCUCAGUCAGAAGCGACACGU